rnacentral:lncRNA from 1 species
UUUUUCUUUACAAUGCAUCAUGUCACAUUGUUUGAAAAUCAAAAGCUGGAAAGUGUAUUCAUCUCUAUUUGUUGCCCCCUUCCCAGAUGCUUCUUAGUAUCAGAAACUCUGAUGAGCCUCUGUGAGAUCUAGGAGUCCUGGAGGCCUGCUCCCUCUGUGGCCGGGCAGGACCUACUUACUAUUCAGAAACUAGCAGAGCUCCAUGAGUUAAUGACUGUGCCACAGUAAAGCUAAGGCAGACUACAGUGGGAUGUGGGGAGGGGCAGAGAGAAAAAGUAGGGAAUUUUACUCACUUACACCUUGAGUUGUUCCUAAAAGGUUUAAGGUGGCUAGGAGGCUGUGUAUCCACAAAGGUCUCUAGAGUAUGACCUGACCUCGAAGGAAAAACAGGAUACAAAGAGGACAAGACAGAACAGGCACUCUAGGAGGAGGGAAUAGGUUGUGCAGAGAUUUAGUCCAUGUGUGAGGCCUCACAAAGCCCAAGGUGGCCGGAAAUGUGAGGGCAGUGGGAAAUGCCAAAGGAAAGGGGGACUCUACUCAGACUCCCUAAUAACCAGCCCACUGUGGGCAGUACUAUGGAUAAACUCACAUCUUCCUAGGCUGAUCUCCUUAGCCUUAGUCACUGUAUAGUCUCAA